ACAAGGCUACAUCUUUCCUUCAGGCGGAUUUAGAGUAGACUCCACCAACAGCUGCAGCCUGCUUAGUCCACAAAUGAUCAUUAUGGCAAAAAGAAGAAGAGAAUAAGGAGGGAGAAAGCUAGAGCUGUGGCUGAGGAGAAUGAAUGCAUGGCGAUAGAAACGAAGCCCUUGCAGACCGUCCCAGUGCUGCACACACAAACGCAUGUAACAGGACAGACAGUCCAGGUUCUGCUCCCAAGCAUUCAGACCCCUGUCAGUGUACCUGUGUG